GCCAGAGUGGUGAAAUGGCAGACACAUCGGACUUAAAAUCCGAAGCGGGUUAAACCGCGUGAGGGUUCGAUCCCCUCCUCUGGCA
rnacentral:tRNA from 1 species